CUGCAUGAAUCUGGAUAAAGCCUGCUUCUUCAGCUACAGCUAACAUGGACGUAAUAGGAGUGAGAGCCACCUCUGUUGCAUGACGCCCCAGGGAUUUUGGAGCUGCUUGUGACUGCAGCCUGACACAGCCUCAGCAGACUGAUACAUUGCCGUAUCUCCAAACAGAGCAGCUCAUUCUGCGGUCCAUGCAUAUUUCUAAAUCAUACAGCUGAGCUAUAAUCCUCAGAAGCCAGGGACAGCUGUCCAUGGAAGGACGUACUCUUCUGGAAGGACGUACUCUUCUGGAAGGAUCUCUCCACUGGACAACUUACAGCUGGUGGGAAUUACCUGCGCCAUGAUAAUAUGGAAAAACCCACACCAGUCAGGAUGCGAUGACUGUCUAGUUGAAUAUAAUUUUUUAAAAGAGGUAAUUAAUUUAUUAGCACGAAAUGGCCAGAAUGAUUUAUAGAAAUAAAAUAGAUACUGCAUACAAAUAAGUAUCUAUUGUUAAUGUCGUCAGUGUAGACAUGCAUAAACAGAUGGAAAAUGGGCUCUGGAUCCAACAGGCUGGUGCUUAGAUCCUAGUUCUGCCCAUAUUGCCUUGGGAAAAUUAACCACUCUGUUUCAAUUUUUUAAAUGUGCUUGAUGGAGAUAAUGUUUCUAUUUGUCUGCAUCUUGAUGCAUGGCACAAGUAGGUAUUCCAUAAAUAUUUGUUUCCUUUUCUUUUUCCAUUAUAGAUAAGUAUUUGUUAUAUGCUAUAAGAAAUUAUUACUCAUGAUGACUACUUGAUUAUUUUUGAUGGACUUGAUUUUUUAUUUUUGAUGAUAUUUUAAAUUAUUCCAUAAUCAGUUGCCUUUGAUCAUGACUGUAUUUGGUAAAUACAAAAUACUUACCGUUCCUUCUGUGAGCAGUGCCAUCAGUGCAGUGCUAAUGUUCACCGGCAUGGUGCUUGCCCAGGGCUUUCCGCUUUCCUUCCCAGCCCUUAAAUCUCCUCCCUCCCACCAUCCUCCUGAUGAAAUACAUUCCCAAACCGUAGCCUGUUUAGAGGUUGUGGCACAUGGCCAUCUUCAAUAUAGCAGUCCACUCUGAAUUUAAAUUUGUCAACAUUUUCCUUAGAGGGAAUGAGAAGGAAAAUGAAUUUAAUUUAGUAUAAAAAAUAAACAUUUCUGGGCACUGGAAA